CUUAAAUAAGGCUUUAUUACCUUGUGAUAUUUACCCAUGUGUUAGUUUCAAGUGUUAAUACUUGUUGACUUAGAUGACAGUAUCCACUUAAACUGCUCAAUUCUUCUUUUUAAAUAGUGCAUGGAAUGCAGAGUAAAACAUGUCCAUGGAAUCGCAAGGUCAACAGCCAUUCAUAUAAUAGACAAAUGAACAACUGAGAGCUUUGCAGGUCUUUACAUGACUUAUA